AACAAUUUUGAGUUUUGGGGACUAUGCUCUUACUGAUAGAUAACCACAAUAUAGACGGAUUUUCUGUGUACUUGACGACAAUAACCUAUGGUUCAAAAGUUAGAGGGGGAUACAUUUUUUUUUCUUUCGGAGCGUUUAUCUCCGAAUAUAUUCACUUUAUCAAAAAAUGUUUGUUGAAGACCCAUAUUAGUUUUGAGAGACCUUUCCAACGAUAUCCCACAGUAGGGUAGUAGCUAAAAAAAAUUCACCCCCACUUUACGUGUAGGGGAGGUACCCUAAAAAAAAUUAAAUUUUUAGAUUUUAUUGUACGACUUUCUCGGCGUUAUUGAUUUAUAUAUCCAUGCCAAUUUUCAGCUUUCUAGCACUAACGACCACGGAGCAAAGCCUCGGACAGACAGACAGACAGACAGACGGACAUGGCGAAACUAUAAGGGUUCCUAGUUGACAACGGAACCCUAAAAACGCAUUUUUUUUAUCGUAAUAUACCUUAUAGAAAUGGUUGUUAACUUAGUGGAUACGUACUUUAUUACGUCAAAUUACGUUUGUUUAAAUCAGAAUUUAUUCAUGACUCACAUGUGAGUCACUGGCCCUGCGGAACUGUUUGAGCAUGACCCAUAUGCUGCGUCGCUGGCCCUGAAUAGGUUAA